AUGAAGGUACCGUGGAUUGGCAACACUUACAAUGUAAACAAACAGCUGAUCACGGGUCCGGAGCGAGGCAAGGAGAUAAAAAUAAUAAUAAACGAAGGAAAUAGAGCAAAUACUCGUAGAAGGACGACAGCAGGCAGAGAGGGGCAGGAGAAGUAGCAGAAUCAGGGAAAGGGCGUAUUGGUGCCAGUAAAUAAGGUGGACUUGGAAUCUCUCAGGGGAAACUACAUGUAGUAAUUGAAUUAAAAUGGCUAGAACCAGAGGAUGGGGUUGUGCGUCCCCGGGAGUUCAGAGGGUGCCGGCGCUUCAACUGAUGGUGUGGACCCAUGAGACAGAGGCUCCACCAGGUGGUAACACAAGCAGCGGGUGGAAGAGACCUUGGGAGACUUCCGUAACUCACAAGCAAGAACCAAACCUUGCUGGAGCCUUGUGACUGACUGGUGGUUUUGACUGCAGGCACCAACAUUCAGGUCCCUGAACACCUUUCCCCCCAUGAACUGGCUGCUGUUUACUGGGACACCCUUGCAGAACAGCCUGGCGGAGCUCUGGGCCCUUCUGAACUUCCUAAUGCUGGAUAUUUUUGAGUCCUUGUUCAAUGUGAGUGAGAUGCAGGAGGGAAGUGAGGAGAGGACUCUGAGGCAGGAAUGGGAGGGCCAGGCCAUCUCCACUCUAAUGAAGAUAAGAGAGAGGGAAUGUGGGUGUGUUUGGGAGUGUUUUGGUGGCUUUGGGUAGGUUUGGGUGUGUUUGGGGAGUUUUUUAUGAUUAUUUAAAGAGGUUUUUUUGGGCUGGAGAGGAGUUUUUUGGGCUGGAGAGGAGUUUUUUGGGCUGGAGAGAAUUUUUUUGGGUCUGGAGAGGAGCUUUUUGGGCUGGAGAGAAAUGUUUUGGGCUGGAGAGAAGGUUAUGUUUUGGGCUGGAGAGAAGGUUUUGUGGGCUGGAGGGAAGUUUUUUGGGCUGGAGGGAAGUUUUUUGGGCUGGAGAGGAGUUUUUUGGGCUGGAGAGGAUCGUUUCAGGUCAGGUGGUUAAACACUACCGUCUAUCUAGUGGCUAUUGUAGGCUGUAUCUCUCUCUCUCUCUCUCUCUCUCUCUCUCUCUCUCUCUCUCUCUCUCUCUCUCUCUCUCUCUCUCUCUCUCUCUCUCUCUGUCUGUCUGUCUGUCUGUCUGUCUGUGUGUCGUAGUCAUGAGUGUUGGUGUAAUUGUUAUUACGAUGUAUUGUGUUGGUGCAGGAUUGUAAGGCGAGAUAGCAAGGUACACACACCACCACCCCUCACACACACACACACACACACACACACACACACACACACACACACACACACACACACACACACACACACACAGCCCCCUCCCCCCUCUCCCCCUUUAUCGUAACGUACAAACAGGACUAAACGUGUUACUAAUGCCAGCAAUGUAAACAAAACCACAGUGACUUUGAAAUGUAAACAAAAAAGUCACGUGACCAGGUAAUGUAAACAAAACCACGUGACUUUGAAAUGUAAACAAAAAAAGUCACGUGACCAGAUAAUGUAAACAAAACCACGUGACUGAAAUAUAAACAAAAAAGUCACGUGACCAGAUAAUGUAAACAAAACCACGUGACUGAAAUGUAAACAAAAAAGUCACGUGACCAGAUAAUGUAAACAAAACCACCGUGACUUUGAAAUGUAAACAAAAAAAGUCACGUGACCAGAUAAUGUAAACAAAACCACGUGACUAUCAAAUGUAAACAAAAAAGUCACGUGACCAGAUAAUGUAAACAAAACCACGUGACUUUCAAAUGUAAACAAAAAAGUCACGUGACCAGAUAAUGUAAACAAAACCACGUGACUUUGAAAUGUAAACACAAGGUCACGUGACUUGCAAAUGUAAACAAAACAGGAAAAAAACAAACAACCGCCAUCUUGAAAGCAACGUAAACAAACAAACAAACAAACACGUGGAUAUAUUAACAGUUUGCACUUAAAACAAACAAACAAACAAACAAAUACUUGGUACACACGCUUAGUCCCAUAAUUAGAAGGGUCAAACACACACACACACACACACACACACACACACACACACACACACACACACACACACACACACACACACAGUCUAGGUGAGUUAAUCUUUAUAAUAAUAAAAAAAGUUUCUUAAGAUUAGUUAGUUAAAUAAGAAAAAUAUAAAAAGUUAAAUAAUUCAAACA